rnacentral:rRNA from 1 species
GUCUACGGCCAUGCCACCCUGAACAAGCCUGAUCCCGUCUGAUCUCGAUAGCUAAGCAGGGUCGGGCCUGGUUAGUACUUGGAUGGGAGACCGCCUAGGAAGACCAGGUGCUGUAGGCG